rnacentral:misc_RNA from 1 species
CGUACUCCGGUGCGGCCAACUGUCGUGGAGCUUGUGUUUUCAGUCCCCCCCUGCCUAGUGCGCUUUUGCACGGAACGGACAAUGUUCAGUGGGUGCUUGUGUGGGUACUUUCGAGGGAACACGAAUUCUGGCCGGUGAUGGAUUCUUUCUUGCUCGGAUUGCAACUUUUUGUCGUCCGUGCAUUAGCAAUGUCGGCGGUGUUGUAGCCGUGCGUGGGCUGAUGCUCCUCGUGACGGACUAGGCUACCGCCGCCUCUUGCGGAUGUUGUAGCCAUUGAGUGUUGUGCGGUCCUUUGGUCCGCUUGUUUCCUCCGGAGGUCCUCUGGGCGAAACACUCCUCUGCCGCCAGUCCUCUCAAGGCGGGCUGUAGGGGCAUGGUCUCGUUCGUGAGAGAUGUCCGAUGUUGCCUAAAAGCGAUUGCCGGUCUGCUUCGCACGGGAAGCUCAGUGCCGUCUCUCGUUUAUGACGUGCUACCUGGUUGAUCCUGCCAGUAGUC